UACGUAGGGUGCAAGCAUUAUCCGGAGUGACUGGGCGUAAAGAGUUGCGUAGGUGGACAAGUAAGCGAAUAGUGAAAUCUGGCGGCUCAACCGUACAGACUAUUAUUCGAACUGCUCGUCUCGAGAAUGGUAGAGGUAACUGGAAUUUCUAGUGUAGGAGUGAAAUCCGUAGAUAUUAGAAGGAACACCAAUGGCGUAGGCAGGUUACUGGACCAUUUCUGACACUAAGGCACGAAAGCGUGGGGAGCGAACCGG
rnacentral:rRNA from 1 species